rnacentral:rRNA from 1 species
AUGGAGGUGGAGGAGGCCGGGUGGAUCGGCGGCGUGGAUGAGAUGGAGGCGGGGACCGCGGGAAAGGGCGUCCUCCCCGAGCACAUCGCCGAGAUGGAGACUGCCGACGCCGGCGGCGGAGCGACAACAGCGGAGGAGAAGGAAUACUGGGAGUACGAGCAGGCCCUUACCUUCCGCGAUCAGUGGACUUCCAUCUGGGCCGCCAAAUUCGGUUCCUUCGACGACAUCACUGCUAUUCAGCCCAUGCGUUACACGGAUGCAAAGGCUCCAGGGGGCUACGCGCAGCCCCUUGAUUCCCUGCAGAUCUACUCCAUCGACGUCGCGGAGAUCAGAGGCGGCCUGCGUUGGCCGGUCGACGUCUACGGUAUGAUCGCCGCGCGCGACGUCGUCGACAGAAACCGCAACGUCAUCUUCGACCGCUCCAGGGUUGACUGCCAAACCCUCACCAAAGAGGAUUCAUGCUUGGUACUGACUGGCCCUACCCGCCCUAUCAUUAUGUUGGGUGCCGCGACCUUUGAGAUUGCGCUAAAAGUGAAGGAGGGCUGCACGGAGUCUAGCUAG